rnacentral:rRNA from 1 species
GACGAACGCUGGCGGCGUGCUUAACACAUGCAAGUCGAACGGUGAAGCGCCUUCCUUUUUGGUGGGUGUGGAUGAGUGGCGAACGGGUGAGUAACACGUGAGUAACCUGCCCCCUUCUUCUGGAUAACCGCAUGAAAGUGUGGCUAAUACGGGAUAUUCUGGGUCUGUCGCAUGAUGGGUCUGGGAAAGAUAUUGUUUCGGUGGGGGAUGGGCUCGCGGCCUAUCAGCUUGUUGGUGGGGUGAUGGCCUACCAAGGCGGUGACGGGUAGCCGGCCUGAGAGGGUGGACGGGCACACUGGGACUGAGACACGGCCCAGACUCCUACGGGAGGCAGCAGUGGGGAAUAUUGCACAAUGGGCGCAAGCCUGAUGCAGCGACGCCGCGUGAGGGAUGGAGGCCUUCGGGUUGUGAACCUCUUUCGCCAGUGAAGCAGGCCUGCCUCGUUUGUGGGUGGGUUGACGGUAGCUGGAUAAGAAGCGCCGGCUAACUACGUG